UGAUGGGCCCAGUUCUCCAGUCCUCCUUCUACUUAUGUCCUGUGUUGUAUGACUUUGCAGGUGCAUGCCUUUGAGUAUGGACCAGGCCAUGUAACUUCUUUUGGCGAGCAGAAGGAGGUAGAAACACACCAUUUCUGAGGCCUGGCCUCCAGACAUGUUGUGUGCCUCCCUUUGUACCCUGUGCCUCUGCCAUUGCCAUGAUCAAGGCACACCCACAUUGGCCCCGUGGUCUCAGGAGGAAAAGAGAUUCAUGGAGAGCCAAACUACUGCAGCAAAGCCCAGCCAGAACCAGCCAAACCCAGUUGACCCCAGAUGGGGGCUGAUCCUGCUGUUAUGCACAACUUCUCAUCCAGAGAGACACCAUGGAGAAUAAAUCAGGACCAGAACUUAGUGUGACAGCUGCUGUCUGGCAGGGCCCUGGGGUUUGGGGGCUAAUGGGGUCUCACAGCAGGGAGGAGCUGCUGCCAGCCGGCAGGGAGGAGAGGUGGGGUUGAGACUUUGAAAAACGAAUGGAAGAAUUUUGCCACUUCAUAAAACCAACGUCAGUGGGUGAAUCAUAGACUGUGGAGGACUGAGAGGGCUGGCAAGGUCUUUAUGAUCCGUGAGCUUGGGGUUCUUAAUCUGAGGACUGAAGCUAGGUUUUAUGGGGGUCUGUGAACCCAUGAAAUCGAGUGUGAUUUUUUCAGGGCAUAGGUGCAUUUCCCUGGGGCUAUAGUUCAUUGCUUUCAUCAGUUCUCAAAGGUUAAGAACUGGUCUAGUUCAACUCACUCAUCAUAUAGAGGAGAAAACUAUGGGGUCCUUGGAAGAGAAGGAACCAGUGGAGUUCCCCUAGCAGAACUGGAAUUAUUAAUCAGGAGACCCAGAUUCUAAAUUGGCCUAGCCAGAGUCUGGCUACAUGAACUUGGGCUGGUCACCUUACCUCUCUGAGUGUUUUAUUAUGCAUGCAAUUAAAGAGUUGUAGAGAAGAUUAAGUAAAGGACUUAACGGAUUUCAACACCUACCCACAAUGUUAAUAUGUAAUUAACUGCCAAUAAAUAUUCUUUGAGUCACUGUGUACCUUUGAAA
rnacentral:lncRNA from 1 species